GCGUGUGUGCGGCUCUUGGGGGCUUUUCCCCAAGGAGGGAGAAGGGCAGCCCCUCUCCCUCCUUGGGGAAAAGCCCCCAAGAGCCGCACACACGC
rnacentral:miRNA from 1 species